rnacentral:lncRNA from 1 species
UAUUGAAUUGGCCGGGUGCAGUGGCUCACGCCUGCAAUCCCAGCAUCAUAGCUUAGCUCCCACCAUGGCCUAGUUCUAUUUCUCAUUUUUACCUUGGGCUGUGCUCUGUGCUUUUAUGUUCUGCCAAGCAGUAGAGAAGAUAAAGAUAAUCCAAAUCCUUUAUCAGGAAGAAUCCCAUCUCAAUUGAGAUUUAAGGUGAAAAGUGGAUUCCCCGAUUAGGGGAUGUUUCAGCACUUCCUCUGCAGUAUCAAUAAAUGUUCUCACUGUUCACAACAGCUCAAGAAACAUUCCUGCAUAAUUAUUUUAUACCCUCCUACUCCACAGGCUACAUAAAGCAUGGAUGAUAAACAGGCAUUACCCUUCAUGCCAAUGACCCUUGAUCAGUAGUUGCUGCCUGGAGCAUUGUGUUAAGAUGGAUGCUAAGGUGGAGUCCUGGUUCCAUAUGAAAGACUGACAUGGUUUGGUUGAUUUUCCAUGUCUGCUACGGUCUUCAGCAGGGGGAACAACAGUUCUAGUAUUCUGCUUGCCAUCCCAGCGGCCCUGAAUCAUCAUAGUUAUCUUGGGCAAAGAACACAGGAAAGGGGAACUCUUGGGGAUGUUAGCCAGCCAAGCAAUCUGUUUCACUGAGGGGCUAAAGUCUUAUGAUAUGGCUCCUUAAGAAAUGAAUAAAGGGGCCAGGUGCAGUGACUCAUGCCUGUAAUCCCAGUGCUUA